GUCGAGCGGACAGAUGGGAGCUUGCUCCCUGAUGUUAGCGGCGGACGGGUGAGUAACACGUGGGUAACCUGCCUGUAAGACUGGGAUAACUCCGGGAAACCGGGGCUAAUACCGGAUGCUUGAUUGAACCGCAUGGUUCAAUUAUAAAAGGUGGCUUUUAGCUACCACUUACAGAUGGACCCGCGGCGCAUUAGCUAGUUGGUGAGGUAACGGCUCACCAAGGCAACAAUGCGUAGCCAACCUGAGAGGGUGAUCGGCCACACUGGGACUGAAACACGGCCCAAACUCCUACGGGAGGCAGCAGUAGGGAAUCUUCCGCAAUGGACAAAAGUCUGACGGACCAACGCCCCGGGGAGUGAUGAAGGUUUUCGGAUCGUAAAACUCUGUUGUUAGGGAAAAACAAGUACCGUUCGAAUAGGGCGGUACCUUGACGGUACCUAACCAAAAAGCCACGGCUAACUACGUGCCACCAGCCGCGGUAAUACGUAGGUGGCAAGCGUUGUCCGGAAUUAUUGGGCGUAAAGCGCGCGCAGGCGGUUUCUUAAUUCUGAUGUGAAAGCCCCCGGCUCAACCGGGGAGGGUCAUUGGAAACUGGGGAACUUGAGUGCAAAAAAGGAAAGUGGAAUUCCACGUGUAGCGGUGAAAUGCGUAGAGAUGUGGAGGA
rnacentral:rRNA from 1 species